GUAGUGAUGAAAAUCAUGCUAAUCAUGAAGAGGCGCGUCCGUCUCGGACCCCAUGUUGCAAACAUCUAUUUCUGAAC
ensembl:snoRNA K08E3.11 ncRNA